rnacentral:rRNA from 1 species
UGCAAGUCGAGGGGAAACGGCAUCAAGCGCUUGCGCCUGAUGGACGUCGACCGGCGCACGGGUGAGUAACGCGUAUCCAACCUGCCCCACACUAAGGGAUAACCCGCAGAAAUGUGGACUAAUACCUUAUAUUUUCCACCAAGGGCAUCGUCGAUGGAACAAAGAUUUAUCGGUAUGGGAUGGGGAUGCGUCCGAUUAGGUUGUUGGCGGGGUAACGGCCCACCAAGCCUUCGAUCGGUAGGGGUUCUGAGAGGAAGGUCCCCCACAUAGGAACUGAGACACGGUCCUAACUCCUACGGGAGGCAGCAGUGAGGAAUAUUGGUCAAUGGGCGUGAGCCUGAACCAGCCAAGUAGCGUGCAGGAAGACGGCCCUAUGGGUUGUAAACUGCUUUUAUGCGGGGAUAAAGGAGUCCACGUGUGGAUUUUUGCAGGUACCGCAUGAAUAAGGACCGGCUAAUUCCGUGCCAGCAGCCGCGGUAAUACGGAAGGUCCGGGCGUUAUCCGGAUUUAUUGGGUUUAAAGGGAGCGUAGGCCGCGUUUUAAGCGUGUUGUGAAAUGUAGACGCCCAACGUCUGCAUCGCAGCGCGAACUGGGACGCUUGAGUACGCGCAACGUUGGCGGAAUUCGUCGUGUAGCGGUGAAAUGCUUAGAUAUGACGAGGAACUCCGAUUGCGAAGGCAGCUGACGGGAGCGGCACUGACGCUUAAGCUCGAAGGUGCGGGUAUCAAACAGGAUUAGAUGCCCUGGUAGUCCGCACAGUAAACGAUGGAUGCCCGCUGUGUGCCAUUUAUGGUACGCGGCUAAGCGAAAGCGUUAAGCAUCCCACCUGGGGAGUACGCCGGCAACGGUGAA